UGACUCUGCAUUUCAGUCAGCUCGAUCAAGAGACUCCCGAAGAAGUGUCCGAAUGGGCAAGAGCAGCCGGUCAGCAGAUCAGUGUAGACAGUCUCUCCUCUUAUCGCCUGCUCUGAACUACAAGUUUCCUGGCCUCUCAGGCAAUGCUGAUGACACCCUUUCUCGAAAAUUGGAUGAUCUGAGUCUCUCCAGGCAAGGAACAAGUUUUGCCAGUGAAGAAUUUUGGAAAGGCAGAGUAGAGCAUGAAACUCCAGAAGACCCUGAAGAAUGGGCUGAUCAUGAAGAUUAUAUGACGCAGCUCCUCCUCAAGUUUGGUGAUAAAAGCCUCUUUCAGCCACAGCCCAAUGAGAUGGAUAUUCGAGCCAGUGAGCACUGGAUAUCUGAUAACAUGGUUAAAAAUAAGACCGAGUUAAAGCAAAAUAACCAGAGCCUUGCAAGUAAAAAAUACCAGUCUGAUAUGUACUGGGCACAGUCACAAGAUGGACUGGGCGAUUCUGCUUAUGGCAGCCACCCAGGCCCUGCAAGCAGUAGAAGGCUUCAGGAAUUGGAACUGGACCAUGGGGCUUCCGGGUAUAACCAUGAUGAAACACAGUGGUAUGAAGAUUCCCUGGAGUGUCUGUCAGACCUGAAACCAGAGCAAAGUGUUCGGGAUUCGAUGGAUUCUUUGGCAUUGUCCAAUAUCACAGGUGGAGUUUCGCUCUCGUCGCCCAGGAUGGAGUGCAAGUCUCACCUCACUGCAACUUCCGUCUCCCGGGUUCAAGUGAUUCUUCUGCCU
rnacentral:sRNA from 1 species